rnacentral:lncRNA from 1 species
UGAGCGAGAGCGGAGGAAAAGAAGUAUGGGGGGAGCUGCCAUCGCCCCACCGACCUCUCUGGUAGAGAAAGACAAAGAGUUACCCCGAGAUUUUCCCUAUGAAGAGGACUCAAGACCUCGAUCACAGUCUUCCAAAGCUGCUAUUCCUCCCCCAGUGUAUGAGGAGCCGGACAGACCAAGGUCUCCAACCGGCCCCAGCAACUCCUUCCUCGCUAACAUGGGGCAGAACUCAUUUGAAAAUGAAGGCACUUGGAUUUCUAGAGACAUGCUUGUUUGGUCACAUGUUGCUCUAUAAGGAUUAGUGUUCAUACCGUGCUGAGUGUUUUCCAAACCAGUGCAAGUUUGUACAAAGCAGCCUUUUAGUACAAGUCAUGGAUGGUUUAGACACAUUUUGCUAUGUAGAAGUUUCUGAUAAUUACGUCAUUUCUCCUAACAUGCAAAUAAAAUAACUCAUAGGAAUU